GCUUAAAUAGUUUAAUUUAGAAUUUUAAUUUGUGGUGUUAAGAGUGCAUUAAUGCUUUAAGUA
rnacentral:tRNA from 1 species